AUGAAGGCCUUAGGGUCGUAAAGCUCUUUCGCCAGGGAUGAUAAUGACAGUACCUGGUAAAGAAACCCCGGCUAACUCCGUGCCAGCAGCCGCGGUAAUACGGAGGGGGUUAGCGUUGUUCGGAAUUACUGGGCGUAAAGCGCACGUAGGCGGAUCAGAAAGUAGGGGGUGAAAUCCCAGGGCUCAACCCUGGAACUGCCUUGUAAACUCCUGGUCUUGAGUUCGAGAGAGGUGAGUGGAAUUCCGAGUGUAGAGGUGAAAUUCGUAGAUAUUCGGAGGAACACCAGUGGCGAAGGCGGCUCACUGGCUCGAUACUGACGCUGAGGUGCGAAAGUGUGGGGAGCAAACAGGAUUAGAUACCCUGGUAGUCCACACCGUAAACGAUGAAUGCCAGUCGUCGGAUAGCAUGCUAUUCGGUGACACACCUAACGGAUUAAGCAUUCCGCCUGGGGAGUACGGUCGCAAGAUUAAAACUCAAG
rnacentral:rRNA from 1 species